AGAGUGUUAUCACAUGUGGAGGGGGAGAGGGAAUGUCAGUCCCAGUAGAAGCACCCACUGAAGAGGGACAACUUAGCACUGAACGUUUUAAGGAUGAGACACAAUCUGUUUGGAAGCGAGUCAUAAGUAAAUAAAACAUAUAAAGGAGUAACACAGCCCUGCAGAGCCAUAAGGGUGGAUCCAGAAGGUGGGACUCAAGUGAAUUCCAUGCCAAAAUGUUGACAGCAUCUGAUGCAUGUGAGAGGUAUGCUGAGCGCCCAGAACUGCCUGUCCCACUGAACAUAAUACUGUGCAGACACCAGUUGGGGUAGAUUUGAACACAGUAAUCAUUUAUUUGUCAUAAAAAC